rnacentral:tRNA from 2 species
GCGGCAGUGGCGGAAUUGGUAGACGCACCAGCUUGAGGGGCUGGCGGGGGCAACCCCGUGGAGGUUCGAGUCCUCUCUGCCGCACCA